GACGAACGCUGGCGGCGUGCUUAACACAUGCAAGUCGAGCGGUAAGGCCCUUUCGGGGGUACACGAGCGGCGAACGGGUGAGUAACACGUGGGUGACCUGCCCUCGGCUCUGGGAUAAGCCUGGGAAACUGGGUCUAAUACCGGAUAUGACUCCAUGACGCAUGUUGUGGGGUGGAAAGCCUUGUGCGGCUGAGGAUGGGCCCGCGGCCUAUCAGCUUGUUGGUGGGGUGANGGCCUACCAAGGCGACGACGGGUAGCCGGCCUGAGAGGGCGACCGGCCACACUGGGACUGAGACACGGCCCAGACUCCUACGGGAGGCAGCAGUGGGGAAUCUUGCGCAAUGGGCGAAAGCCUGACGCAGCGACGCCGCGUGAGGGAUGACGGCCUGG
rnacentral:rRNA from 1 species